rnacentral:lncRNA from 1 species
AUAUUUUGGAUACUAAAAUAUAUUAAUUAUUUUAAAAUUAUAUCUAUUAGAUAUUCAAAAAUAUGAAAAUAUCUCAAAAUUAUCAACAUAGUCACAAGUAAAUAUCUAAAAAUAACAGUAAAUGUUUAAAAUACUGAUAACAUUUAUUUGUUCUCCAUCCAAAUAUUUUAAUUGAACUAAUUUUUAUGUCAAUUUAAAUAGUUAGUCUUACAUUAUUCAAAUGUGUAUGUUUUAUAUUAUUUUAUUUUCAGAUUUUGAGGAUUUAAGUAUAUUUUGGUUUUUUUAUAAAAGAAUAUGUAAUUAAAAUGGGUAUUUGAACUCAAAUUCGAACUGAACCCACAAUGAUUCGAACCAAAUUUAAACCAAAAUUUAUAAAUAUUUAAAUAAGAUUUAAAUUAUUACUCUGAAAAUUUGAAAGAUCAAAUGAAUCCAAACAGAUAUAUGAAUAUUAAUUCAUAAAAAGCUAUACGACAAAUCUCUUAGUACAUCAUACUAUAAAUAAUCUAAUAAACUAUUUCACUUC